rnacentral:lncRNA from 1 species
GUGAAGUUGUUUAUCCUACAAGUGGUGAGGGAUUCGCGUGGAUCAUUUCAUUUCAUGGCUUAGACGGCACGGUAUCUUAGAAACUAGGUAAUUGCAAACUAAACCCUGUCCACGUUUUAUGGAACUUGGGUCGGCUUGCUAGUUCAAACGAACUGCCAAUCACCACACAUUCCCCCAAUGAAACUGUGGAUCAGAUCCAAUGGAAGUAAUUCCCAGCCCCGAAGUUAUGG